rnacentral:rRNA from 1 species
GACAGAGGAUGCAAGCGUUAUCCGGAAUGAUUGGGCGUAAAGCGUCCGCAGGUGGCAAUGUAAGUCUGCUGUCAAAGCGUCUGGCUCAACCAGAUAAAGGCAGUGGAAACUACAUAGCUAGAGUAAGGUAGGGGUAGAGGGAAUUCCUGGUGUAGCGGUGAAAUGCGUAGAGAUCAGGAAGAACACCGGUGGCGAAAGCGCUCUGCUGGACCGUAACUGACACUGAGGGACGAAAGCUAGGGGAGCGAAUGGG